rnacentral:tRNA from 1 species
GCCCCCGUAGCUCAACUGGAUAGAGCAGCGGACUUCUAAUCCGCAGGUUGCAGGUUCGAUUCCUGCCGGGGGCG